GAUGAACGCUGGCGGCGUGCUUAACACAUGCAAGUCGAACGGAGCUAUUUGAAAGCUUGCUUUUGAAUAACUUAGUGGCGGACGGGUGAGUAACGCGUGGGUGACCUGCCUUAUACUGGGGGAUAACACUUAGAAAUAGGUGCUAAUACCGCAUAAGCGCACAGUUCUGCAUGGAACAGUGUGAAAAACUCCGGUGGUAUAAGAUGGACCCGCGUCUGAUUAGCUGGUUGGUGAGGUAACGGCUCACCAAGGCGACGAUCAGUAGCCGGCCUGAGAGGGUGAACGGCCACAUUGGGACUGAGACACGGCCCAAACUCCUACGGGAGGCAGCAGUGGGGAAUAUUGCACAAUGGGGGAAACCCUGAUGCAGCGACGCCGCGUGAGUGAAGAAGGUCUUCGGAUUGUAAACCUUUGUCUUUGGUGACGGAACAAAUGACGGUAGCCAAGGAGGAAGCUCCGGCUAACUACGUG
rnacentral:rRNA from 1 species